UGCUUGGAAAGUUCCAAGUAAAUUCUGCCAUUUGGUUGAACUAAAAGGCCGUUAUACGCUAAGGUAGCGUAAUCAAAAGUUUGUUGAUUGCAAACCGGAAUGAAAGAAAUAAUAGAGAGACAAUUUACCCAUUUUAAAAUUGAAUUUAAAGAAGACUAAAAAAUGGCUUCGUUCUUGCAAGACGAGAAGACCCUUAAAGCUUGCCCAGUUAUAAAGGGUUAUUUGGGGAAAAAAUCCAAUAGAUCUUGCGAGAUCAAAAUUUAACCAACUAAAAAAUAAGCUACUUUAGGGAUAACAGAAUAAUUUGGAUAAAAAGAACUUAUUUAAUUCCAAGUUUAUGACCUCAAUGUUGGAUUCCUCAGUUUUUUAGGCUGAUGUAGGCUAAUUAAAUGAGACUGUUCGUCUUUUAAAGGGGG
rnacentral:rRNA from 1 species